UCGUGAUUAUAUUUUUACUUUGCCUAAAGGGAGGGGAACCAAGCUUGCCCUUAGUGCAAAACCAGAUAAGUGCCUAAGGAAUGGAGGAAGAAAGACAACCAUUGUGGAGGAAGUUGCCAAUUAGUCCAAUCACGAUCAGUCCUGGAAUGAUUCAAGUUUCAAAGUCUUAUGUUGGAGUUGCUUUAAAGGUUUUAAAUUUUGAAAUAUAUCACAAAGAACUUACAGAAAUGAAGGAAC